rnacentral:rRNA from 1 species
AGUGAACGCUGGCGGUAGGCCUAACACAUGCAAGUCGAACGGCAGCACAGUAAGAGCUUGCUCUUACGGGUGGCGAGUGGCGGACGGGUGAGGAAUACAUCGCAAUCUACUUUUUCGUGGGGGAUAACGUAGGGAAACUUACGCUAAUACCUCAUACGACCUACGGGUGAAAGCAGGGGAUCUUCGGACCUUGCGCGAUUGAAUGAGCCGAUGUCGGAUUAGCUAGUUGGCGGGGUAAAGGCCCACCAAGGCGACGAUCCGUAGCUGGUCUGAGAGGAUGAUCAGCCACACUGGAACUGAGACACGGUCCAGACUCCUACGGGAGGCAGCAGUGGGGAAUAUUGGACAAUGGGCGCAAGCCUGAUCCAGCCAUACCGCGUGGGUGAAGAAGGCCUUCGGGUUGUAAAACCCUUUUGUUGGGAAAGAAAAGCAGCAUGUUAAUACCCCGCUGUUCUGACGGUACCCAAAGAAUAAGCACCGGCUAACUUCGUG